rnacentral:rRNA from 1 species
UCGAGCGGUAGCACAGGAGAGCUUGCUCUCUGGGUGACGAGCGGCGGACGGGUGAGUAAUGUCUGGGAAACUGCCUGAUGGAGGGGGAUAACUACUGGAAACGGUAGCUAAUACCGCAUAACGUCUACGGACCAAAGUGGGGGACCUUCGGGCCUCACGCCAUCAGAUGUGCCCAGAUGGGAUUAGCUAGUAGGUGGGGUAAUGGCUCACCUAGGCGACGAUCCCUAGCUGGUCUGAGAGGAUGACCAGCCACACUGGAACUGAGACACGGUCCAGACUCCUACGGGAGGCAGCAGUGGGGAAUAUUGCACAAUGGGCGCAAGCCUGAUGCAGCCAUGCCGCGUGUGUGAAGAAGGCCUUAGGGUUGUAAAGCACUUUCAGCGAGGAGGAAGGGUUCAGUGUUAAUAGCACUGUGCAUUGACGUUACUCGCAGAAGAAGCACCGGCUAACUCCGUGCCAGCAGCCGCGGUAAUACGGAGGGUGCAAGCGUUAAUCGGAAUUACUGGGCGUAAAGCGCACGCAGGCGGUUUGUUAAGUCAGAUGUGAAAUCCCCGCGCUUAACGUGGGAACUGCAUUUGAAACUGGCAAGCUAGAGUCUUGUAGAGGGGGGUAGAAUUCCAGGUGUAGCGGUGAAAUGC